rnacentral:rRNA from 1 species
AUACCCCGGUAGUCCUGGCCGUAAACGAUGGGUACUAGGUGUAGGAGGUAUCGACCCCUUCUGUGCCGGAGUUAACGCAAUAAGUACCCCGCCUGGGGACUACGAUCGCAAGAUUGAAACUCAAAGGAAUUGACGGGGGCCCGCACAAGCGGUGGAGUAUGUGGUUUAAUUCGACGCAACGCGAAGAACCUUACCAAGGCUUGACAUUGAGUGAAAGGCUUAGAGAUAAGCCCCUCUCUUCGGAGACACGAAAACAGGUGGUGCAUGGCUGUCGUCAGCUCGUGUCGUGAGAUGUUGGGUUAAGUCCCGCAACGAGCGCAACCCUUAUCCUAUGUUACCAGCACGCAAUGGUGGGGACUCAUAGGAGACUGCCAGGGAUAACCUGGAGGAAGGCGGGGAUGACGUCAAGUCAUCAUGCCCCUUAUGUCUUGGGCUACACACGUACUACAAUGGUCGGCAACAAAGGGCAGCGAAGCCGCGAGGCGGAGCCAAUCCCAGAAACCCGACCCCAGUUCGGAUCGCAGGCUGCAACCCGCCUGCGUGAAGUUGGAAUCGCUAGUAAUCGCAGGUCAGCAUACUGCGGUGAAUACGUUCCCGGGCCUUGUACACACCGCCCGUCACACCACGAAAGUUGGUAACACCCGAAGCCGGUGAGAUAACCUUUUAGGAGUCAGCUGUCUAAGGUGGGGCCGAUGAUUGGGGUGAAGGCGUAACAAGGUAGAGCUCUCAGUCAGUCAAAUCGAAUUCC